rnacentral:rRNA from 1 species
CCUUUGUACACACCGCCCGUCGUUAUUUCCGAUCGAAUGGCUCAGUGAGGCGUCCGGACUGGCCCAGAGAGGUGGGCAACUACCACUCAGGGCCGGAAAGCUCUCCAAACUCGGUCAUUUAGAGG